rnacentral:tRNA from 1 species
UGCAGUAUGGUUCAAUGGUAGAGUACUUGCCUCGCAUGCACGUGGUUCUGGGUUCAAUCCCAGUCUUACAA